UUGCUGGUAGAAGUUUUUAUUUAACUUCUGUAUGUGUGCUGAUGUUAGAAGUUUUUAUUUACCUUUUGUAUGUGUGCUGAUAUGUGAAGUUUUUAUUUAACUUCUAUGUGUGUUGAGUGUGUUGCUGCUCUGAGUGUAUUAGCUAGGUUAAUUUCCCUGCUAGAUGUGUGUUUUCCGCUGCUGUGAACUUUGUUGUGAUGCCAUGUUGUUUUAGCCAAUUUUUUUC
rnacentral:lncRNA from 1 species